AUUCCGGUUGAUCCUGCCGGAGGCCAUUGCUAGCGAAACCAGAGCCAGCCAUGCCAGACGCGUGAGUUCAGACUCGCGGCGCCAAGCUCAGUAACACGUGGCCAAACUACCCUACAGAGACGGAUACCCUCGGGAAACUGAGGUUAACCCGUCAUACCGAUCUCAGGCUUGAAUCGCAGAGAUCACAAAACGCCCCGGCGCUGUAGGAUGUGGCUGCGGUUGAUUAGGUAGACGGUGGGGUAACGGCCCACCGUGCCCAUAAUCAGUACAGGUUGUGAGAGCAAGAACCUGGAGACGGAAUCUGAGACAAGAUUCCGGGCCCUACGGGGCGCAGCAGGCGCGAAACCUUUACACUGCACGCACGUGCGAUAAGGGGACUCCGAGUGCGAGGGCAUAUCGUCCUCGCUUUCGUGUACCGUAGGGUGGUACACCAACAAGGGCUGGGCAAGACCGGUGCCAGCCGCCGCGGUAAUACCGGCAGCCCGAGUGAUGGCCGAUCUUAUUGGGCCUAAAGCGUCCGUAGCU
rnacentral:rRNA from 1 species